CAGUCUCAGUUCGGAUUNAAGGCUGAAAUUCGCCUUCAUGAAGCCGGAAUUGCUAGUAAUGGCAGGUCAGCAUACUGCCGUGAAUACGUUCCCGGGCCUUGUACACACCGCCCGUCACACCAUGAGAGUUGGGGAUACCCGAAGCCUGUGAGCUAACUGUAAGGAGGCAGCAGUCGAAGGUAGAAUCAAUGAUUGGGGUGAAGUCGUAACAAGGUAUC
rnacentral:rRNA from 1 species